UUAAUUUCAAAAAUAAAUAAAACCACAAAAUAUUUUCCCCCUCUUUUGUUAUUAAAAUUUUUUCUCUUUAUUAUCCAGGCAUAUAUAAUUUUGAAAUAUAAAAUUACAUAAAAUUAUUUCUGAAUAUUCAUAAUUUCUUGACAUUUAUUUUUUGUCGUAUUCAAUAAUUUGAUGAAAACAAGAUAUAGUUUUCAUAUGUGAGAUUUGUACAUAAUGAUGAAAAAUUGCUGGAUAAAGAUAGAGAGAAAAAAAACAUGAUAAUGAUGAAAAUGUCGAUUAGAUUAUUGCAAAAUUUUAAAUUUGUGGAUUGAAUUAAAUACAAAUAUUAAUUGACGCUUGCAACAGAGGGUGACUGACUAUACAACUAAAGGGAAAUUUUACCCACGAAGUCGCAUAAAAUUGUCGAGGGCGAUCAGAAAAAAAAUAUUGCUAUUUGGUUUUUCACUAUAGAGGUGGGGUAAAUACGAUACCACGACUUUAUAAUCGUUGUAAUACAAAACCUAGAAGAUAUUCUGUUCUGACCUGAUUCAGUACUUUAAUAUUCUGUAACAAUUAAUAUAAUUUCCAAAUUUCAUGAUUAUUGAUGAUAGUUUUUGAGAUAUUAGCAAUUUGUCGAGCUUGGGGUAAAAUAUACCCCACCUGUGUACUUAACUUAUUUGCCUUCCAAUAAAAUAUGACAUUAAUAUCUCACGUACCAAAAAAGUAUAAACAUGUUGUUAUUAUUUCUACUCUUCACAAUAUUAAUAUUAAUACAUAAACUGGAGAUUUGAAAAAACCAAAAAUCACCAUUUUUACAAUCUCGAUAAAGCUGGAGAUGAUGUUGUGAAUCAACUUCGUUCAAAUUAUUCUAUAUCAAGAAAAACAUAUAUAAAAUUAUUAGCUAUGGAGCUAAUAACUCCAUUAAUGAGUUAGAUAUGAAAAUCCUCGUGUAGAUUGCUAAGGGAUGAUAUUGGUAAAAUGCUCAAUAUAGAGGAACUAAACUCCAUUUCUACCAAACACAAAGGAAGGUUUUUCUCUU